UACGUAGGGGACAAGCGUUGUCCGGAAUUAUUGGGCGUAAAGCGCGUGUAGGCGGCCAAGUAAGUCUUACGUGAAAUCCUGAGGCUCAACCUCAGGCCUGCGCGGGAUACUGCUUGGCUAGAGUCCGGAAGAGGAGAGUGGAAUUCCUGGUGUAGCGGUGGAAUGCGCAGAUAUCAGGAAGAACACCCGUGGCGAAAGCGGCUCUCUGGAACGGUACUGACGCUGAGACGCGAAAGCGUGGGGAGCGAACAGG
rnacentral:rRNA from 1 species